rnacentral:rRNA from 1 species
GACGAACGCUGGCGGCGUGCCUAAUACAUGCAAGUAGAACGCUGAAGGAGGAGCUUGCUCUUCUGGAUGAGUUGCGAACGGGUGAGUAACGCGUAGGUAACCUGCCUGGUAGUGGGGGAUAACUAUUGGAAACGAUAGCUAAUACCGCAUAAUAACAGUUGUUGCAUGACAACUGUUUGAAAGGUGCAAUUGCAUCACUACCAGAUGGACCUGCGUUGUAUUAGCUAGUUGGUGGGGUAACGGCUCACCAAGGCGAGGAUACAUAGCCGACCGGAGAGGGUGAUCGGCCACACUGGGACGGAGACACGGCCCAGACGCCUACGGGAGGCAGCAGUAGGGAAUCGUCGGCAAUGGACGAAAGUCUGACCGAGCAACGCCGCGGGAGGGAAGAAGGUUGUCGGAUCGUAAAGCUCGGUUGUAAGAGAAGAACGAGUGUGAGAGUGGAAAGUUCACACUGUGACGGUAUCUUACCAGAAAGGGACGGCUAACUACGUG